rnacentral:lncRNA from 13 species
GAUAUAAAGCUAAUAAACGAGCAAUAACGGUUGUCGUAUAUAAAAUAUUUAUUCUGUUAUGAGGUCAAUGGGACGUUUUGGAUUUACUUGUCCUUCUUCAGCCGUGUAUAAGUUAUUUACAUAAUUUCGAGUCAAGACACAUUAGAUUCCUUUGUAUUGAGUAUGUCCCCGUUUUGACCCGGAUUUUCAUCAAAAAAACUUUGAACUGGUUAUAAAACUAUUGAGAGACAACGGCUAUCCUCUAGAACUAAUAUUUAACAAAAUUAAUCUCAGACUAAAACAACUUGUCAACGACAGAAUUACAAACAAAGGAAAAAACACUCAGAAGGAAAGCGAAUCUGAAAAUGCAAAAAAAUUUUUCACUAUCCCGUAUAUAAAAAAUGUAUCCGAAAUGGUAAAUUCUGUCAUUAACAAGAAUAAAUUUAUAACAGGCUACAGAUGUUUAAAUCGACUCAAUAUAAUCGUAAAAGCACAGAAAGACAGAGAUAAUUCUAUCUCCACGAACAACGUUGUAUACAAAUUAAAAUGUAACGAUUGCGAUGCUUCUUACGUGGGCUAAACAAAAAGAAAACUAAACACGAGAAUCAAAGAACACAUGAGUAACUUAAAAUCUGAUUCAUCGAAGCAUUCUGUAAUUUCAGAUCAUAUCAUUCAACAUAGUCAUUCAAUAGAUUGGAAUAAUGCAACAAUCUUAGAUAUAGAACCCAGAUGUAGAACUACAAAAGACUUAUUUCAGAAAUGAUACACAUAAAAGAACAAACCAACGGUCUCAACUUGCAAACAGACACUUGUGAGCUUCUACAUGAGUCUUAUUUUGAAUUACUGAACAGAUUAGUUUGCUAAGUUUAAGAACACAUUGUAACGUAUUCGAUCUCGAUCCACCGUCUCCUUGAACUCAGUUUAGAUUUAACGUCGAGCAAAACGGACACGCUCCUGCGUUUGUUACUUCGGCCAUAGUAUCAUUAUAUAUUCUCUAACGGCCGCAUUGUGUUGAUCUGCCCAAAUUAUUAUCAUGGAACCGGUUGACACUAAAAUUCGCACACAGAGACACGCAUUUACGAAACGUUGUCUCACCAAUGGCUUAGCGUUAUGGAACAUCUACAUCAUGCCAACAUGGUAAAAAUGACGGACAGAUUGCAACAUCCGGACAUACUCAAUACAGAGAAAUCUAAUGUGUCUCGACUCGAAAUUAUGUAAAUAACUUUUACACGGCUGAAGAAAGACAAGUAAGUCCGAAACGUCCCAUUGACCUCAUAAAGGAAUAAAUAUUUUAUAUACGACAACCGUUAUUGCUUGUUUAUUGGCCUCAUAUCUAUUUAAUAUGUAUACAAUACGAGCGUAGAAAAUUUAUUUAAUUAUGCAAAAGUUAAAUCACUUUUUAUUAAAUACAUUACUGCACUCCUAAGUAGUGCAAGUGUAGAAAGACUAUUUAGCGUGAGAGAUACUGUAUUAAGAAAGUGGUCAUCUUAAUGAUGAUUCUAUACAACAUCAAUUUCUUUUAGAAAUAAUUAACAGAUCUUUUUGGUGCAAAAAUGCAAUCAAAACUGAACUAUCUGUGAUUAUAUUGGAUACAAAUAUGUGUGACGUUAGUAAAUAGAAUAAAGAGACGUUGAGUGAAAAU